rnacentral:lncRNA from 1 species
AAAUAAACAAUGCCAAUAUUUAUCACAAAUCUAACUAAACUAGGCUUGACUCUGAUCGAAAGGUAGUCCCUAGUAGAAUUACCAGGUGCUGCAUCUUGAAAAAUACGAUCAUUCGCAAAGCGUUCGUACGCUCGCGGGAAUGAUUGAAUAGAGUCGCCACUGAACUCUAUUUAUUCCAAAGAAGAAAAGGGAAAAUAUUGAAAAAAAACCUUAAAAGAAAAAGAAGAUGGUUG